UACGAGGGGGGCAAAUGUUGUUCGGAAUCACUGGGCGUAAAGGGAGCGUAGGCGGGUUUCUAAGUCAGGUGUUUAAUCCCGGGGCCCAACCCCGGACAGGCACUUGAAACUGGGAAUCUUGAAUAGUGGAGAGGUCAGUGGAAUUGGGGGUGUAGCGGUGGAAUGCGUAGAGAUCCCCAAGAACACCAGUUGCGAAGGCGGCUGACUGGACACAUAUUGACGCUGAGACGCGAAAGCGUGGGGAGCAAACAGG
rnacentral:rRNA from 1 species